rnacentral:sRNA from 1 species
CGUAGGCGUACGAAGACGGACCUAGCUACUGAGAUCAGGACAGAGCAGCGGAGGGACAUUACCGAGUUUCAACUCCCAAACCCAAUGUGAACGUUACCAAACUGUUGCCUCGGCGGGAUCUCUGCCCCGGGUGCGUCGCAGCCCCGGACCAAGGCGCCCGCCGGAGGACCAACCAAAACUCUUAUUGUAUACCCCCUCGCGGGUUUUUUUAUAAUCUGAGCCUUCUCGGCGCCUCUCGUAGGCGUUUCGAAAAUGAAUCAAAACUUUCAACAACGGAUCUCUUGGUUCUGGCAUCGAUGAAGAACGCAGCGAAAUGCGAUAAGUAAUGUGAAUUGCAGAAUUCAGUGAAUCAUCGAAUCUUUGAACGCACAUUGCGCCCGCCAGUAUUCUGGCGGGCAUGCCUGUCCGAGCGUCAUUUCAACCCUCGAACCCCUCCGGGGGGUCGGCGUUGGGGAUCGGCCCUGCCUUGGCGGUGGCCGUCUCCGAAAUACAGUGGCGGUCUCGCCGCAGCCUCUCCUGCGCAGUAGUUUGCACACUCGCAUCGGGAGCGCGGCGCGUCCACAGCCGUUAAACACCCAACUUCUGAAAUGUUGACCUCGGAUCAGGUAGGAAUACCCGCUGAACUUAAGCAUAUCAAUAAGCGGAGGAAAACAAACCAACAGGGAUUGCCCCACUAACGAGGCCGUCAUGUGGUCACACGUAUAUCUUUACAUCUUUAUCCUCCCUUAGUUCUAUUAACAAUGAUCACUCAAUAUAA